rnacentral:tRNA from 1 species
GCCUGGGUGGCUCAGUCAGUUAAGCGUCUGACUUCAGCUCAGGUCAUGGUCUCACGGUUCAUGGGUUCGAGCCCCACGUCAGGCU